GUUGCAAAGCUGAAGACAAUAUUCUUAUCUUUCCCCAGGAGAGAUUUAUUUCUGUUCCAAAAAGUGUAAUAUGAAAACAAAAUCUUCCAAGGGGAUAAAAGUUUUUCUCCUUCCUUCAUGAUGGGAGAAGGACAGUAUGUACACAGAAACCUUCUGACUAAUCUCAUUAUCUUAAGAUGCUGUGGGAUCGGAUCUGGAAAUUAUUAGAAAUCGGGCCGGGGAGACCAGAGUAUGAAAAGAGAAGGAUCUGAGACUACCAUGCUGGAGAGUAUCAAUGUUUAAGAAACAUACAAAAAGAUUUCAAAGGCAACAUGAAAAGACAUGAAUCAGGCAACAGUACCUUCAGUCAAGGAACCACACAAGCAGGAAGAUCCCCUGGAGAAGGAAAUGGCAACCUACUCUAAUAGUCUUGUUUGGGGAAUCCUAUGGACAGAAGAGUCUGGUGAGCUUACUAGGACUGUGAUUUCAUUAAUAUAACAUGUUCAUCAACUGAGAUUCUGCCAAAUUGAAUUUUAUAAUUGGUAUUUAUAUCCUGAUAAUCAGUAAAUGUAUUUUAGUAUAUUUC
rnacentral:lncRNA from 1 species